AGCGGCAAGAGCUCAAAUUUGAAAUCUGGCACUUUCAGUGUCCGAGUUGUAAUUUGAAGAAGGCAGUCUUGGUGGUCAACCUUGUCUAUGUUCCUUGGAACAGGACGUCACAGAGGGUGAGAAUCCCGUGCGAUGAGGAUUGGCUGCUAUGUAAGGCGCUUUCGAAGAGUCGAGUUGUUUGGGAAUGCAGCUCUAAGUGGGUGGUAAAUUCCAUCUAAAGCUAAAUAUUGGCGAGAGACCGAUAGCGAACAAGUACAGUGAUGGAAAGAUGAAAAGAACUUUGAAAAGAGAGUGAAACAGUACGUGAAAUUGUUGAAAGGGAAGGGCUUGAGAUUAGACUUGGUUUUGCUCAAUCAUUUCUCCUUGUGGGAGGUGCUCUUGGCUUUACCGGGCCAGCAUCGGUUUUGAUGGUGGGAUAAUAGCGAUUGAAUGUGGCUCUUCGGAGUGUUAUAGCUUUCGUUGAUACCGCCUAUUGGGACCGA
rnacentral:rRNA from 1 species